UGUUUUUCUCCACCAUCAUCAGUUUGUAUGUAUGGUUGUUUCUACCUUUGGAAACAACCAUACAUACAAACUGAUGUUGGUGGAGAAAAACA
rnacentral:pre_miRNA from 13 species